UUCGGGGACGCGGUGACAGGAGCUGCAUGGCUGUCGUCAGCUCGUGUCGUGAGAUGUUGGGUUAAGUCCCGCAACGAGCGCAACCCUCGCCAUUAGUUGCCAGCAUUUAGUUGGGCACUCUAAUGGGACCGCUUGCCGAUAAGGCAGAGGAAGGUGGGGAUGACGUCAAGUCCGCAUGGCCCUUACGCCUAGGGCUACACACGUCCUACAAUGGCCAGUACAAAGUGUCGCUAGCUCGCAAGAGUCUGCUAAUCACAAAAAGCUGGUCUUAGUUCGGAUUGAAGUCUGCAACUCGACUUCAUGAAGUUGGAAUCGCUAGUAAUCGUGGAUCAGCACGCCGCGGUGAAUACGUUCCCGGGCCUUGUACACACCGCCCGUCACGCCAUGGAAGUUGGGGCUGCCUGAAGUGGCUGAGCUAACCUCGUGAGGCAGGUUACUAUGGCAGUACCGAUAACUGGGGUGAAGUCGUAACAAGGUAACC
rnacentral:rRNA from 1 species